rnacentral:rRNA from 1 species
AGAGUUCUAUCCUGGCUCAGGAUGAACGCUGGCGGCGUGCCUAACACAUGCAAGUCGAACGAAGCGCCUUUUGAGAUUCUUCGGAUGAUUGAUUGGUGACUGAGUGGCGGACGGGUGAGUAACGCGUGGGUAACCUGCCCUGUACAGGGGGAUAACAGCUGGAAACGGCUGCUAAUACCGCAUAAGCGCACGAGGAGACAUCUCCUUGUGUGAAAAACUCCGGUGGUACAGGAUGGGCCCGCGUCUGAUUAGCUGGUUGGCAGGGUAACGGCCUACCAAGGCAACGAUCAGUAGCCGGUCUGAGAGGAUGAACGGCCACAUUGGAACUGAGACACGGUCCAAACUCCUACGGGAGGCAGCAGUGGGGAAUAUUGCACAAUGGGGGAAACCCUGAUGCAGCAACGCCGCGUGAGUGAAGAAGUAUUUCGGUAUGUAAAGCUCUAUCAGCAGGGAAGAUAAUGACGGUACCUGACUAAGAAGCUCCGGCUAAAUACGUGCCAGCAGCCGCGGUAAUACGUAUGGAGCAAGCGUUAUCCGGAUUUACUGGGUGUAAAGGGUGCGUAGGUGGCAGUGCAAGUCGGAUGUGAAAGGCCGGGGCUCAACCCCGGAGCUGCAUUUGAAACUGCUCGGCUAGAGUACAGGAGAGGCAGGCGGAAUUCCUAGUGUAGCGGUGAAAUGCGUAGAUAUUAGGAGGAACACCAGUGGCGAAGGCGGCCUGCUGGACUGUUACUGACACUGAGGCACGAAAGCGUGGGGAGCAAACAGGAUUAGAUACCCUGGUAGUCCACGCCGUAAACGA